UACGUAGGGUGCAAGCGUUAAUCGGAAUUACUGGGCGUAAAGCGUGCGCAGGCGGUGAUGUAAGACAGUUGUGAAAUCCCCGGGCUCAACCUGGGAACUGCAUCUGUGACUGCAUCGCUGGAGUGCGGCAGAGGGGGAUGGAAUUCCGCGUGUAGCAGUGAAAUGCGUAGAUAUGCGGAGGAACACCGAUGGCGAAGGCAAUCCCCUGGGCCUGCACUGACGCUCAUGCACGAAAGUGUGGGGAGCAAACAGG
rnacentral:rRNA from 1 species